UUUGGCAAUGGUAGAACUCACACUGGUGA
rnacentral:ncRNA from 4 species